rnacentral:lncRNA from 1 species
CGAGGGGCGAGUCUGAGAGCGAAGAGGAAUAUUGGGAGAGACUGAGCGAGGAGUAUUGUGGGAUAGUUGAGGGGAGUGAUGAGGUAGAGUGGAUGGUUUGGUGUCUGGAGCACGACAGUCGCCGUGAGGAGCGUGGGACCAGUCGGGCACCAUGUUUUGCGGAGAUACGCAAUGUGUCUCCAGUGCGCAUCCACAGCCCGGUGCGUUCUGUGCCAGCUCCUCGCACUUGCUGUGCGAAAGUGAGCAUCCAGCCAGGAAGGGUAGUGCCGACUCAGCGCUCCUGGUCUUCAGUAAACACAAAUGAACAGUAGUCCUAUAAAUCUACCCUGAUCCUCACUAAUCAUGGUGCUGUAAUAGGGGUUAAACAGUAGUCCUAUAACUCUACCCUGAUCCUCACUAAUCAUGGAGCUGUAAUAGGGGUUAAACAGUAGUCCUAUAACUCUACCCUGAUCCUCACUAAUCAUGGAGCUGUAAUAGGGGUUAAACAGUAGUCCUAUAAAUCUAAUCAUGGAUCUGUAAUAGGGUUUAAACAGUAGUCCUAUAAAGCUAAUCAUGGAGCUGUAAUAGGGUUUAAACAGUAGUCCAAUAAAGCUAAUCGGAGCUCUGUAAUAGGGUUUAAACAGUAGUCCUAUAAAGCUAAUCAUGGAGCUGUAAUAGGGGUUAAACAGUAGUCCUAUAAAUCUAAUCAUGGAGCUGUAAUAGGGUUUAAACAGUAGUCCUAUAAAGCUAAUCAUGGAGCUGUAAUAGGGUUUAAACAGUAGUCCUAUAACUCUACCCUGGUCCUCACUAAUCAUGGUGCUGUAAUAGGGGUUAAACAGUAGUCCUAUAACUCUACCCUGAUCCUCACUAGUCAUGGAUCUGUAAUACACCAGUCCAGUUGUUGUGAAGCGUGCGCCAGGCUCCAGGUUUAAACUGCUACGUGUGGUCUGAGUUCCAUAAUGAUUCCAAUAGACGACAUGUCCCAGAUUAUUACCCACCGUUAGUCUGAUGAGAUCUGGUAACGCUAACGACCCUCGGGGACAACGAACCACACAGACAUGACAGGGGAAGGAAAAACUACAUGGACUGGAAUGAUUUGCUAAAUGUAAGGUACAAAUUGAAGAAAAUUAAACGCUAAAGUGACAGUUGUUAUAAAUGUAUGUGGGUAUAACUGACGGUGUCUCCCGAUUUUUAGUGGCUAAUAUUUAACAUUUAUACAAAUAAAACAAGAGAAAUUCUCGGGCGUAUAAUUGAAACAUUCUAAAGAGCAAACAUUAAACUGGGCAGGUAGCUCUGCUUGGGUCUCCACGUUUCAUCCACGCAAAUUAUGAGGGCACACAAUUUAAAAUUCAGAGUAACGGCACAAUUUAUUUAUAUCCUACUUCACUGUGGAAAAGGGGAGUAAUCUACGUGUGAUGUUGAUUAUGAUUUUAAACUUGGUUUCCACAUGACUGGUUUCAUAUUUGUCUCCAGAGAUCAUAAGGAAAAAUCAAUUGCUAUGUGUGUUUACAAUUCACUGCUCCAAACGGGUUACUGAUAUACCUAGAUCAACAGGUCUUAUCCGUAGAUCUUAUCCACAAUAGGUCUUAUCCACAAUAGGUCUUAUCCACAAUAGGUCUUAUCCACAAUAGGUCUUAUCCACAAUAGGUCUUAUCCACAACAGGUCUUAUCCACAAUAGGUCUUAUCCACAAUAGAUCUUAUCCACAACAGGUCUUAUCCAUAAUAGGUCUUAUCCACAAUAGGUAUUUUCCAUAGGUCUUAUCCAUGUUUAAAUGACAGCGUAUAGAAAUAACAGCAUUCUCUAUCCGGAAUAAAUAAAGCAGAUGCUUUUUCCACUUGGCAGGUUCUCUCAACCUUUUUCCUGGUUUCCUGGCGUGUACUACAGGAGCACGUAAAGGUGGUAGAAUUAUGAGGGGAAUUAAGGCAAGGUCAGAAUCCAGUGUAUCUGUAGACACCCCUCCAUUAAUCCACCCCUCCAUUAAUCCACCCCUCCAUUAAUCCACUCCUCCAUUAAUCCACCCCUCCA